rnacentral:rRNA from 1 species
GGUCAAGCUAAUAAGAGCACAGGGUGGAUGCCUUGGCAUUAGGAGCCGAAGAAGGACGCGAUAAGCUGCGAAAAGCUGCGGAGAGGCGCAAAUAGCCAUUGACCCGCAGAUGUCCGAAUGGGGAAACCCGGCCGGAGUAAUAUCCGGUCACCGUAUAGUGAAUUCAUAGGUAUACGGAGGGAAACCUGCCGAACUGAAACAUCUAAGUAGGCGGAGGAAGAGAAAGAAACAUCGAUUCCCUUAGUAGCGGCGAGCGAAAGGGGAAGAGGCCAAACCCGACACCUUAGGGAGUUGGGGGUUGCGGACUGCAUAAGGCAGCCUUAAGGUUAGCAGAACAACCUGGAAAGGUAGACCAAAGAGGGUAAAAGUCCCGUACGCGAAAACCAAGAGGCGCUGGCAGGAUCCAGAGUACCAUCGGGCACGUGAAACCUGGUGGGAAGCCGGGAGGACCACCUCCCAAGCCUAAAUACUACCUAAUGACCGAUAGCGCAUAGUACCGUGAGGGAAAGGUGAAAAGAACCCCGGGAGGGGAGUGAAAGAGAACCUGAAACCCUGUGUUUACAAGCAGUCAGAGCACGUUAAGGUGCGAUGGCGUACUUUUUGUAGAACGGUCCGGCGAGUGUAUGUAUGUAGCAAGGUUAAGGUGCUGGCGCACUGAAGCCGAAGGGAAACCGAGUGUGAAGAGCGCGUAGAGUUGCAUGUAUACGACCCGAAACCGGGUGACCUACCCAUGGCCAGGUUGAAGCGGAAGUAAAAUUCCGUGGAGGACCGAACCCACCAGUGUUGAAAAACUGGGGGAUGAGCUGUGGGUAGCGGAGAAAUUCCAAUCGAACUCGGAGAUAGCUGGUUCUCCCCGAAAUAGCUUUAGGGCUAGCCUCGGAUUAAUUUGGCGGAGGUAAAGCACUGAUUGGGCUAGGGGCCUUACUCGGUUACCGAACUCUAUCAAACUCUGAAUGCCGCACAAAUGAUGUCCGGGAGUCAGACUAUGGGAGAUAAGUUUCAUAGUCAAGAGGGAAACAGCCCAGACCAACAGCUAAGGUCCCAAAAUAGACUUAAGUGGAAAAGGAUGUGGAGUUGCUAAAACAACCAGGAUGUUGGCUUAGAAGCAGCCAUUCAUUGAAAGAGUGCGUAAUAGCUCACUGGUCGAGUGAUUCUGCGCCGAAAAUGUAACGGGGCUAAAGUCUAUACCGAAGCUUUGGCAGCGUAAUGCUGGGUAGGGGAGCAUUCUAUGAUAGGUUGAAGCAUGACCGAGAGGACAUGUGGACGAGAUAGAAGAGAGAAUGCCGGAAUGAGUAGCGAGAAUUAUGUGAGAAUCAUAAUCGUCGAAAACCUAAGGUUUCUUGAGGAAGGUUCGUCCGCUCAAGGUAAGUCGGGAGCUAAGGCGAGGCCGAAAGGCGUAGUCGAUGCACAUACGGUUGAAAUUCCGUAACCACCGAAGCCGAUAAUACAUUAAGGGACGCAGGAAGAUAGCCUGACCGCACCGUUGGUUGAGUGCGGCGAAAGGGAGCGAAAACAAGUAGCGAAGCAGGUGAUUCUACACUGACAAGAAAAGCUUAAUGUAUGGGUGAGGUGCCCGUACCGCAAACCGACACAGGUAGGUGAGGAGAGAAUCCUAAGACGAUCGGGAGAAGCGUUGUUAAGGAACUCGGCAAAUUGACCCCGUAACUUCGGGAGAAGGGGUGCCUGCUUCUGGCAGGCCGCAGAGAAUAGGCCCAAGCGACUGUUUAGCAAAAACACAGGUCUCUGCUAAGUCGAAAGACGACGUAUAGGGGCUGACGCCUGCCCGGUGCUGGAAGGUUAAGGGGAAGAGUUAGCGUAAGCGAAGCUUAGAACCGAAGCCCCAGUAAACGGCGGCCGUAACUAUAACGGUCCUAAGGUAGCGAAAUUCCUUGUCGGGUAAGUUCCGACCCGCACGAAAGGCGUAACGAUUUGGGCGCUGUCUCAACAACGUACCCGGCGAAAUUGUAGUACCAGUGAAGAUGCUGGUUACCCGCGACAAGACGGAAAGACCCCAUGGAGCUUUACUGUAGCCUGAUAUUGGAUUUUGGUAUUUCAUGUACAGGAUAGGUGGGAGGCAGAGAUACAUGGACGCAAGUCUGUGAGGAGCCGCUGUUGGGAUACCACUCUUGGAGUACUGGAAUUCUA